UACGGAGGGUGCAAACGUUGCUCGGAAUCAUUGGGCGUAAAGCGCACGUAGGCGGCCUGACAAGUCGGGUGUGAAAGCCCUGGGCUCAACCCAGGAAGUGCACUCGAAACUGCCAGGCUUGAAUAUGGAAGAGGGUCGCGGAAUUCCCGGUGUAGAGGUGAAAUUCGUAGAUGUCGGGAGGAACACCAGUGGCGAAGGCGGCGACCUGGGCCAAUAUUGACGCUGAGGUGCGAAAGCGUGGGGAGCAAACAGG
rnacentral:rRNA from 1 species